AGUGAACGCUGGCGGUAGGCCUAACACAUGCAAGUCGAACGGCAGCACAGUAAGAGCUUGCUCUUACGGGUGGCGAGUGGCGGACGGGUGAGGAAUACAUCGGAAUCUACUUUUUCGUGGGGGAUAACGUAGGGAAACUUACGCUAAUACCGCAUACGACCUACGGGUGAAAGCAGGGGAUCUUCGGACCUUGCGCGAUUGAAUGAGCCGAUGUCGGAUUAGCUAGUUGGCGGGGUAAAGGCCCACCAAGGCGACGAUCCGUAGCUGGUCUGAGAGGAUGAUCAGCGACACUGGAACUGAGACACGGUCCAUACUCCUACGGGAGGCAGCAGUGGGGAAUAUUGGACAAUGGGCGCAAGCCUGAUCCAGCCAUACCGCGUGGGUGAAGAAGGCCUUCGGGUUGUAAAGCCCUUUUGUUGGGAAAGAAAAGCAGCAGGUUAAUACCCCGCUGUUCUGACGGUACCCAAAGAAUAAGCACCGGCUAACUUCGUG
rnacentral:rRNA from 1 species